rnacentral:ncRNA from 1 species
UGCCUUCCUGCCCUCAAGAUAGCGAACAAGUACCGUGAGGGAAAGAUGAAAAGAACUUUGAAAAGAGAGUUAAAGAGUACCUGAAA